rnacentral:tRNA from 1 species
AGUUAAUGAACUUGAACUAAGUGUAUAUUUUGAAAAUAUAGUAAAGAAGUAAUAAAUCUUCUAUUAACUU